AUCCACUCUCGAUCAUUCAAUUGUGUUUUUACUCAUGUUAUCAGAAGAGACGUUAUCGUUCCAACUCCUUUUGUUUUUCACGUUAUAUAAACCCCUUCACCACCAAAUCUCCGAAGACGAAUCUCAAUGAUAUCUCGGCAUAAUCGUAGCCACUUUGUUCAGAUUCUAAGUUUGACGUUAAGAUCCGUACAGAACUUCAUCAAAUAUGGUGAACGAACAAAAUUGGUGACAUGGAAUCCCGACACCGCCUGCUUCAGCGCCGUCUUGAUAAUCGCUUGAAACACAUCCGUCUUUCUCUGCAAUGGUAAUGUGUCUGAAAAACUUAACGAACGUGUCUUUCUGAUUAUCAGGUAUGCUCCCUUCUGUCAUGGAAACAACACCUGUAACAAAUGCUCCGUCUCUCUGGAUUGGUUUUGUUAGAUAGAUUGGAAGAUAUACUUUGAUAUGCUAUUCCUAAUUCAAUUUUAGCGUCAGUAGUCUUGGAUAUAUAUUAGUAAUUUUUUCUUAUAAUGCAGUGACUGGUGUGUGUGUUUGUGGGACUAUUUCACCAUGAAAGAUCAUGCUGUUACACCAGAUCCUAAUGAGGAGGAAGAUUAUAUCUUUUAUCGCCUCACGUUGUGAUUUAGAGGUUUGGCUUUUUUCAGAACCACUUUUGUUAUGAAAGUUUGACUUCUCUAGACGGUUUCUUUGUGUUUUAUUUAAGUUAAAACGCAGUGUCAAGCCAUGUAAACGGUGUGUUGAAGGUUUGCUCACAGUUGCAGGGUAAGGUUUGGUGGUUUAACUCUCGAAUCUGAAACUCUGUUGUUUUGUUUGUUUGGUUAUCCAUAAGCUCUAUCUCUUUGGAUGUUUGGUGUAAUCAGUGGCUCGAUAACUGCCUAAAGAAAAAGAAUUACACCACUUUCAUACUUCUAAUGGUUUUCGUGUUCCUCAUGGUUUGUAUUGGCUCUCUCAACUACUUAAAACAAAAACCUAUAGCUCAUUCACGUAACAACAUUGAUUGCCUUUUGUUGCAACAGCUAACUAUAGAAGGUGGAAACAGCCAUUGCAAUAUUUUUCAGAUAUUUUGUGGCAAAGAAAGGGAUGGAAACCAAACUCAAGAGAAGGCUGCAUGUAGUGUUCCAUUGCUCCAAUAUCUGGAUGCUCUUCAAACUUGCUUAUUUCUCAUGAAAUCUAAUGCAAUUUAUCUUGCCUUAUGAAGUUUGUAAUGUUUUGGGUUCUUACAGGUUUUGUUAACGGCCUAAGUUUCAGCAGCCAAGGGGUAGCUUUUUCCUCUUCCGUUUGGUUCUCAUCAGAAAGGUAACUCUUAUACAGUGUCCUAUCCAUAAAGAUUGCAGAAUUACUCUGCUUCAUAUUUUAUUUUUUAACAAGUAGUGUUCAAAUACUUGCAGAUGAUGAGAACAUAUUAGCAACGGGGGAAGGAAAUCAGUUUCAAGAAAGCAAAUAAGGCGAUCACAUACUCUCAAAUAUAGUAUUCAGGUGUCAAUAUAAUUAGAAGAGACUAUCCAAAAAGAUAGAAGGAGAUGGGCGUUCAACUUCUUCCAUACUGAUCAACAAGCAACUAGGUUUACAUAUAAUCAUAAACCCAUCGAACCUGAUCACUUUAAGCUGGUAUCAAGAAUGCUGACCUCUGUGGAAGAAGACAGGCUGUUCUAUUUUAGUCCACGAAUCUAUGGAACUAAACUCAGACAAGGCUCUAAAGUCCUUAACUUAUGGUAUACUGCCCGAGUAAGUAGUGCUUUUGAAUGUGUGGACGCAUCGGAGAUAUUAGCUUCUGGUGGAGAUAUUAGCUUCUAAAAUGGUCAUUUGUGUCAGUUCCGUCUGGUGAAAGCCAAAAAUGACUUUUACCAUAAUGGAUUUCCACAAUUCGGAUUGGUAGAAAAAAUAAAUAAUAGGUUGGCAAAGUAUAUAACUGUAUGAGGAUAACAACUAUAAACUCUCAAUAAAAACUAAUUGUAUUAAUCAACAUAUACUUCAGAAACAAAUUAGUUAAAAAAUAAGAGUUACAAUUCUUAAUGAAUACCAUGGAGCUUUACGAGCAGGUGCCAUUGUGAAAGUUGGUGGUUUCGAAGUUGGACGUUGCACUAAUAUGUACAAGAGAACGGAUAGCCCUUUCAUCUUCCAACCAAAUCCCAAAGUUUUUGGAGGUAAUCUCUAUCUGAACUCCACCCCGGCGACCAAAUUUUAUUUGGACACCAACAUCCUUGCCAUCGAAGCUUUCACCAAUAGGCUUUCCCACGUACAUGUUUCAAUAGCAGGCCUCCACACGUACAUAGCCACGUCAAACAACCAGGUUUCCAAAACUCUAUUUUCUAUCAUUUCUUAACUUUAAAAAUAAAACUUGUCCCACCUACUUUUUCUCCAUUGUCUCCGUAAAGACCCAGAAAGCUAACUUCCUUUUUAAAGCUUGGAAGUAUGCUACAACAGAAUGGUUGGUCGUACGUUUCUUGCACCGGUUGCAGCAGGAAGUUGGACAAAUCAUGGACUCAACUAUACCGCAACAAAUGUGUAUCACCCAAGAUCGCCUGGGUUUUAAGGUUAAUGGCAGUGGAGGGUAUGAGCUUUCAAGCUGCCUUGCGGAUCUUGAUGGGCAGCAGUACCUUUUCCAAAUUCGGAUAACGCUCUAUAAUUUCACUCCCAGACACCGGACCUUCACAGUGUCUGCAAUCAGUGAUGAUAUUUGUUCCUCAAACUCAGUCAGAGGGGGAAAGCAGCAGCAACCCUCCUCAGCUGGAUCUCCAAUCUAAGGAACCACACGCUUCUGCACGCAUUCCGGUGAUGAGACUCCAAACAUAAUGGAAGUUGAUCCCCACCAAUACCACUUAAUUUUGGAGCCGAAGAGACGAGCCGCAAACGCCCACGUGUGUUAUCCUAGCAAGUUCAGCAAACGUUUGUUCCCACUUAGAUUUGCUUCCCUAUUCUACAAACUCUGGAAUAAGCUACAGCUACUACUCUUUUCCUAUGUUUUAAGUUUUUUUUUUUUUUUUUUUUUUUAGUUACCUUCAAUCAAGCUUCCAGUGGGAGUGUAGUAAUUUGGCAACAUUAAUAAAGGGAACCUUGAUGGGUAUUUGUAAUUUGUCACAACAAAUGUCUGGUUUGUUCAUGCUUAAAUACACAUUACAUCCACAUCACAAAAGGAAUAAGCUACAACGUUUGCUGGCCUAAGGCUCAAUUCUGUCUUUUAAAUAACAUUGUCAUGUUAAAUCACACCGCUGAGUUCUAAAUAAAUAGAAAAUCUGAUUAGUAAAAUAGCAAAUUUAACGGAGAAAAACAAAAUGUGGAUAACUUUUUUAAAGAAGAAAAAUCUCAUGAGUAACUAGGCGAGCAAGAUAACCAGAGCGGGACAAACUAAUAAACCUAUAACUGAGAAGUAAAUAGUUUUUAAGUGUUUUUAAACCAAAGUUCCUCUUCUUAAAUUAGUUUAACAAGAAAAUGAGUGUAAAUGAAGAUCGUACAACUCCUUCACAGCAUAUGAAAAUAUGGUAUGAUGUUAUCUACGUCGGUUGCAAAUACAACAACUUCAAAACUUCUCUCAUACAGUUCCCACACUCUACACUGCUAACACUGCUAAGAUGUAACAGAAUAGCGAGUGCUAGUCGUGUGUCCUAAAGAGGUGUCUUCUUGAUUAAUCAUUAGGAAUCAA